rnacentral:lncRNA from 1 species
UUUAUGAUAUUGCAUGGUCAGUAUAGGAAGUCAGAAUCUUAAAUGGCUAUCGGUCGAGUAGACACGGAAAUACGGAGGGGCCGGUAUUCCAACUACGGUACUAUAGACUAUAGAGUGGAUAGCUUCCAUUAAUAAACGGGCUCAGAAUAUCGACGUCUAUUACCGAUAACCAUGUUAUGAAUCUGAUAGGUAUCCCGUCAUAUUGCAUUUAAGUGUUAUAUUUGUUAAUACAGACUAUAGGGACUUGAUGUCUAUAUGUACUACAGCUAAUUGGUCGUUGCAUCCCCAUGUUAAUAUAACAUUUUGUUUUCGUGAGUACACCUUGUGAGUAUACGUUAAGCAG